UACGUAGGGGGCGAGCGUUGUCCGGAAUUAUUGGGCGUAAAGCGCGUGUAGGCGGCCACGCAGGUCCGCUGUGAAAACUCGAGGCUCAACCUCGAGAUGUCGGUGGAAACCGCGUGGCUAGAGUCCGGAAGAGGAGAGUGGAAUUCCCGGCGUAGCGGUGAAAUGCGCAGAUAUCGGGAAGAACACCCAUGGCGAAGGCAGCUCUCUGGGACGGUACUGACGCUGAGACGCGAAAGCGUGGGGAGCGAACAGG
rnacentral:rRNA from 1 species